rnacentral:piRNA from 1 species
UGAGUCACUGAAGUUUAUGGAGCCCAUGGU